AUUGAACGCUGGCGGCAUGCCUUACACAUGCAAGUCGAACGGCAGCGCGGACUUCGGUCUGGCGGCGAGUGGCGAACGGGUGAGUAAUACAUCGGAACGUACCCUGUUGUGGGGGAUAACUAGUCGAAAGAUUAGCUAAUACCGCAUACGACCUGAGGGUGAAAGUGGGGGACCGCAAGGCCUCACGCAGCAGGAGCGGCCGAUGUCUGAUUAGCUAGUUGGUGGGGUAAAGGCCCACCAAGGCGACGAUCAGUAGCUGGUCUGAGAGGACGGUCAGCCAAACUGGGACGGAGACACGGCCCAGACUCCUACGGGAGGCAGCAGUGGGGAAUUUUGGACAAUGGGGGCAACCCUGAUCCAGCAAUGCCGCGUGUGUGAAGAAGGCCUUCGGGUUGUAAAGCACUUUUGUCCGGAAAGAAAUCGCGCUGGUUAAUACCUGGCGUGGAUGACGGUACCGGAAGAAUAAGCACCGGCUAACUACGUGCCAGCCGCCGCAGUAA
rnacentral:rRNA from 1 species